UGAAAAUGACACUUGACAUUUCUAUUUCUAUGCAAUAUUGGGAAAUUGAUGGUUCAUCACUGUUUCAAAUAAGGUCAAGGAACACUAAUUCAGUGUCAUCAUUGGGUCUUUCUUUUCUGUCCUGAGUGAAAUGAUAAGAGGGGACAGAACAUUUUCCGUCUCAGGACGGCUGUGAAUGGACAGCUGGAGAAAAGCAUACGGGAAGCACAAUGGGGAAGAGACUGGAAGCCGAGCAGGUAAUACCUGGCACCGUGGUUUGUACGCAGUAAAGGGCAAGCAGAGCGUGUGACAUCUCUGUCUUGGCGUCCUGUGACUUCUGCUUUGUUGUUACUUAAGAGUGAAAUUACUCCCUGUGUGCUGGACAGGAAUGUACCAAGACUUACCUCAGGCUUCCGAGGGUCAGUCUCCACAAAGACGUUGAAAAUGAGACAAGAGAAACAUCCUAAGAUCGAAGGUUUUUCUGGAGCUCUUACCUUGUGCCUGGCAUGAUGCUAGUCACUGGGGGCACAUCUGGGGACAAAACAAAUGGAUCCCUGUUCUCCUGGGAAUUGACAGUAUAAUGGGGAAGACAAACAUGCAGCAACUACCUUAAUAGUUGUUUCAGAAUGCAUCCUGCAGGACCCAAGUUAGCAUCAGACUCAAGGGGAUGAACAAGUAGCCGUUGGAGGGAAAGAAGAUAGUCAUCCAGCUUUGAUUCUACCUCCCUGCAAAGCUUUCUGCUCUAAGGGCACAGUGAUGAUUUUGGAUCCUCAGCAGCAAUUCAUCAGGUACUGAAUAACCACCCAGACUCGGAUUAAACACCCAGAAAGCAGGGAAAAUUUGGGGUCCCAAAGUUCACACUAACAACCAGGAGUGGUUACUAUUACCUCUUACCUUGCUAUCCUCAACAUCUUGCAGGAGGCAGCCUGGCAAGCGUUUCCAGUGGAAGAAGACGAGGAGACUGAGGUGGGAGGCAAGGAGA